ACCACAUUGAAGCAAUCGUCGAGCGUCUUACCUGUUAAGUAAGGAAUCAGUGUAGUAAUCCAACACCGAUGUGGUA
rnacentral:tRNA from 1 species